UGGGGGCGGGGCGCUGGGCGCCGGCUGCAGCCACGCGUGCCCAGAUGGGCCACAGGAGGCUUGGGAGGCGGCGUCUGAGCUCUGAGCUGCUCUAGGUUUGCAUACUGGCUGGGCGUGGGCUGCAGACAUGGCUCAGCCACUGGCCUUCGUUCUUGAUGUCCCUGAGACCCCAGGGGACCAGGGCAGCUGGGAGUCCAGCUCCCAGGAUGAUGAGAGCGAGGUGCACCGCUCCUUCUGCCAGCUCAUCCAGGAGCAGAGCCAGUGGGCAGCUGAGGAGGGGCUGGAGCUGCAGCAGAGGGAGCCAGCGCCUGGAGCUUGGGGGGCCCCAGAUGGUAGCCACCAGGCCCUCUUGGGGCCCGAGGUUGCUCCGGCCCACAGCACAGCCACGCUACGCAUCCUGGCCAGCAUGCCCAGUCGUACCAUUGGCCGCAGCCGGGGUGCCGUCAUCUCCCAGUACUACAACCGCACCGUGCGGCUGCGGCGCCGGAGCAGCCGGCCGCUGCUCGGGGAGGUGUCACGCUCAGCCAGGCCUAGCCUCCGCCUGUACGACCUGGAGCUGGACCCUGCAGCUGGCGAGGAAGAGGAGAAGCUGAACCUCCUGGUGAAGGAGCUUAAGGGCCUGUCAGUGGCCCAGCGGGACCACAUGCUCCGGGGGAUGCCCGUGAACCUGGCGGAGAAGCGUUGCCUACGGGACAAGAGCCAGACCCCAAGGGGGAAGCAGAGGGGCCAGCAGCACCGUGGUGGGGUGUGCUCCUGCUGCAGCAGGCUCGGAUACGCCUGCGUUCUGGCCUCGCACAGCCUGGGGCUCGCGCUGCUCUCGGGCCUGCACGCCCUGGCGCCGUGGCGCUUCGCGCUGAAGCAGAUCGGAGGCCAGUUCGGCUCCAGUGUGCUCUCCUACUUCCUCUUCCUCAAGACGCUGCUGGUCUUCAACGCGCUCCUGCUGCUGCUGCUCCUGGCCUUCAUCGUGGGCCCGCAGGCCGCCUUCCCGCAGGGCCCGGUCCCCACCGCCUUCACAGGGCUGGAGCUCCUCACAGGCGGGGGUGGCUUUGCCCACACCAUCAUGUACUAUGGCUACUACAGUAAUGCCACGCUGAACCAGCCGUGUGCCCCACUGCCCGAUGGCAGCCAGUGUACCCCCAGGGCGGGCAGCCUGCCCUACAACAUGCCCCUGGCCUACCUGUUCACUGUGGGGGCAGCUGCCUUCAUCACCUGCAUCACCCUGGUGUACAGCAUGUCCCACUCCUUCGGGGAGAGCUACCGGGUGGGCAGCACCUCUGGUGUCCAUGCCAUCACUGCCUUCUGCUCCUGGGACUACAAGGUGACUCAGAAAUGGGCCUCCCGCCUCCAGCAUGACAACAUCCGCACGCGGCUAAAGCAGGUGAUGGGGACAUGCUGCCUCCCGCAGGAGCUGCUGGCUGCGUGGCAGCUGCAGCAGGACCCCCGCAGCAUGUGCGGGCGGCUGCGGCAAGUGGCCAUGCUGGUGCUCGUGUGGCUGCUGUGUUUGGGGACCACGCUGGGCUGCGCCGUGGCCGUCCACGUCUUCUCGGAGGUCAUGCUUGAGAGCCCGGUGGCUGCUGGCCAGGAGGCUGCACUGCUGGCCCUGCCCCUGGUGGUCUGCCUCCUCCACCUGGCGGCCCCCUACCUGUACCGCGGUCUGGCAGCCCUGGAGCGGCACGGCUCCCCGGUGCUGGAGGUGUACAUGGCCAUCUUCAGGAACCUGGUCCUCAAGAUGGCCAUCCUGGGCGUUCUCUGCCACCACUGGCUGGGCCGCAGGGUGGCUGCCCUCAGGGACCAGUGCUGGGAGGACUUUGUGGGCCAGGAGCUGUACCGUUUCGUGGUGAUGGACUUCAUCUUCGCACUGCUGGACACACUUUUUGGGGAGCUUGUGUGGAGGUUCAUCUCUGAGAAGAAGCUUAAGAGGCAGCGGAAGCCUGAGUUUGACAUAGCCCGGAAUGUUCUGGACCUGAUUUAUGGGCAGACUCUGAUCUGGCUGGGGGUCCUCUUCUCGCCCCUCCUCCCUGCCAUACAGAUCAUCAAGCUGCUGCUCCUGUUUUAUGUCAAGAAGACCAGCCUGAUGGCCAACUGCCAGGCGCCCCGCAGGCCCUGGCUGGCGUCGCACAUGAGCACGCUCUUCCUCACGCUGCUCUGCUUUCCGUCCUUCCUGGGCGCCGCUGUCUUCCUGAGCUACGUCGUCUGGCAGGUGAAGCCCUCGAGCACCUGCGGCCCCUUCCGGACGCUGGACUCCAUGUAUGAGGCGGGCAGGCUGUGGGUGCGCCAGCUGGAGACGGCGGGGUCCAGUGUCUCCUGGCUGUCCUGGUUGUACCAGCACCUGGUGGAGGACACAGUCUUCAUCUUCCUGGUGUCAGCCCUGCUGCUGGCUGUCAUCUACCUCAACAUCCAGGUGGUGAAGGGUCAGCGGAAGGUCAUCUGCCUCCUCAAGGAGCAGAUCAGCAAUGGUGUGCGGCCCCCUGUGAGUACAGACGGUCUCUGAGGAUUUUUGCGAUACUGGAAGUGGCUUUCGGACUUCCACCGGCAGGAGGGACCCAUGUUGGAACACGGACCCUGCUCAGUGCUCUCAUUUUAUAAACAGGUGGAAUAAGGCAGGAUCGGAAACAUUUUUAUUGAGGAGAAGUAACAUUUGUCAUUAAGCACUUAUGGUUUGUCAUGAAAGAGUGAGCAGCAGAAGUGGGACUAGAAGCCCAGGGCACAGCCCCGCCAGGACCCUCCCCCUCUCCCCCGAGGGCACCUACUCCUUCACCAGGUGUCCCAUCAAGUUGGACACAAGGUACUUUCCUGUCUGGGGGACUCGGACUGGCCUCUUCCCCGAGAGCCGCCCUCUCUCGCCUCCUCACGGAGCGCACCGUUGUAGAGCAGGUCCUUGCCUUGCGCCUGGUGUCCUGCAGCGACGGCAGGCUGCUCACACAGAGCCGCCCAGGGACAGCGGCUCUUUGAAGGACGAGGAAGGGGAGGACAAAAUCUUCUUAAUUAACAAGCUUCACUCCGUCUACGAGAGGAAGGAGAGGAAGGAGGGGAG